CACAAAAUUCUCGGAAGUAAAAACUUCCAAAAGUAAAGUAAAAGUGGUGUGAUGCUUAUGCAGGUACGGAUUUUGAAAGUGUGUACUCGUAUUGAGAGGACAAAAUUCUCUAGCAGCAAAAGUUCUUAGAAUUUAGCAGCAUUCGCUCUC